AUGAUGGUCUCACUGCAGUGGACAUUGGAGUCGCUGGCGAGGAUCUUAGAAGGAUAGUUUACACUGGGAAUGUUCGCAUCUACUCGACAGCGGAAGUCCAGGAGAAUCUGCGGAGGAUCCAUGGCGACUCAGGUUAUUUCCCCAUCUCCCAUCAACCCGUUAUUUUCUCGAAAUGAGGUGCCUUAUGCCCGUACCAUGAAGCCAGACUACGGCUUCUGCCUCUUUCGGUACAUGGCCUCUUGGACAUCAGCCUGAUGGUAGAGCGUGGCUUAUUGAAGGCCUAUGAUGUCAACAUGCAUGGAGCUGACGGAAGUGUUAACAGGUGACUCUGCCUUGUUGACCCGUGGGCUGCUGGAAUACCGCAGGAGACUCAAACCGGCUGGUAGCCCCCAUGUUUAAUUGGUCCUGAGGUGUCCACUGGCAGCGGACCGUUGCUUGACGAAGUCACUUGCUGAUGCGCCGAAUUAAAGAUUGGUGUUUGUUGUCCCCUUUGUCCCAGUUUACUGACUUUUGUUGCUCAGCCACCUUAUUGUACAUCUACAGAGUUCUCUCAUCGUUGCAAAGCUUGCUUAUCUGGUGCAUUUCUGCCAAACUUGUAUUUUCAUAUUGUGUACAAUAAAUACUUCCUAACCAAAUGCCUCGUCAUCUUUUAAGGAACUCGCAUGAAUGGAUUAACGACAUUCCUACUGUCCCUAUCUACUUUCGCGCGAAACCACAGCCACGGGACCGGGCUUGACAGAAGACCCUGCAAGCUUGACUCUUGGACGACUAUGUGAAGAGACAUGGUAGGUGUUGUAAUAAGUGGGAAGAAGGGAUCACCCUUUAGGAUCUCUCGUUUGACAAUGAAAGACCACUUCUUUUAGUGUUUCUUAACCUAUUAAGUGAAGUGGGAACUGUCAGUUAUUUUCCAUUUUGCCAUUAAGCAAACGUUAGUGCGUUGGUUUCACCCGUUGUGUGAAUUGAUUGCAAGCGUCUGCGCCGCAACUGUCUGGCCAGGGCUAGUGAGAUGUGUGUUUUGCCUUCUACUGCCUGUAUGUUGUUGCUGAAAGGUGGCAGUAAAUAGAUUGUUGAAAGUGGGCGCGUGUCUGGUCUUGAUGCUAUCAUGCAGGUUUGGCGACGUGCGACUCGAGCUGAAGAGUGUGUCAGGCGGGAAGUUUAAUUGGGGCGGUACAUCUGUUAAACCAUAACCCGGGUGUCCUAAGGUGAGCUCAGACCGUAAAAGUGUGUGUUGGCGAUCCUUAUUUAUUACCCGAUAUCCAGACUUUGAAGCAAAAGGUGUCAGAAAAGUUAUAACAGUGAUAACUGGCUAGUGACGGCCAAAAGUUUAUAGCGACGUCGCUUUUUGAUUAUUUGGUGUUGGCUCUUCCUAUCAUAUUGAAGCAUAAUUUAACAAGCUUUGGAUUGCGAACGUGAGCUUGGGUAAGUCAUUCGUUAUACAGGUUAGUUUUAACCUUCUGAUGGUUGAACUGUGUAAAAAGUGAAGUACAAUUUUGUCGUUAAUUUGGUAAUCAUGUUAAGUAAGAGAGGAACCGCAGGUUCAGACAUUUGGUACAUGUUCCUGGUCGAGCAGCCAAUGGUGCAAAGCUGUCAUCUGAGGGAUUAAGACUGAACGCCUCUUUGUCUGAAUACUUUACGAUAGAGUUUGACGGGCCCCGUGUUUCGGCUGACAUAGAACUUUCUGUUCAGUGCCAUCGUGCCCUACCGAACCUUUUUGCUCUGGAAAUGUUAUGCCAGAGUUGUGACCAUGACCGCAUGCACCGGGCCAUUGUGUUGUUUGGGUCCACACGAUAUCCAAUAGUGGUAUGAGCGUAACGGCCCUAAGUCGUAUGUAGACGACUUAACGUUUUUUUAGGGGAGACGUGAGUAUUCGAUCAACUAACACACUGCGAGGUAUUAAGUCCUAUCUCUACCCAACGCAAUGUUUCG
rfam:Schistocephalus solidus strain NST_G2 genome assembly, scaffold: SSLN_contig0005505